rnacentral:rRNA from 1 species
UACGUAGGGUGCGAGCGUUGUCCGGAAUUAUUGGGCGUAAAGGGCUCGUAGGCGGUUCGUCACGUCGGGAGUGAAAACUCGGGGCUUAACCCCGAGCCUGCUUCCGAUACGGGCAGACUAGAGGUAGGCAGGGGAGAGCGGAACUCCUGGCGUAGCGGUGGAAUGCGCAGAUAUCAGGAAGAACACCGGUGGCGAAGGCGGCUCUCUGGGCCUUACCUGACGCUGAGGAGCGAAAGCGUGGGUAGCGAACAGG